rnacentral:rRNA from 1 species
GAUGAACGCUGGCGGCGUGCUUAACACAUGCAAGUCGAACGGAAAGGCCUCUGCUUGCAGGGGUACUCGAGUGGCGAACGGGUGAGUAACACGUGGGUGAUCUGCCCUGCACUUCGGGAUAAGCCUGGGAAACUGGGUCUAAUACCGGAUAGGACAAUGGUUUGGAUGCUGUUGUGGAAAGUUUUUCGGUGUGGGAUGAGCUCGCGGCCUAUCAGCUUGUUGGUGGGGUAAUGGCCUACCAAGGCGUCGACGGGUAGCCGGCCUGAGAGGGUGUACGGCCACAUUGGGACUGAGAUACGGCCCAGACUCCUACGGGAGGCAGCAGUGGGGAAUAUUGCACAAUGGGCGCAAGCCUGAUGCAGCGACGCCGCGUGGGGGAUGACGGCCUUCGGGUUGUAAACUCCUUUCGCUAGGGACGAGGCGUUUUUGUGACGGUACCUGGAGAAGAAGCACCGGCUAACUACGUG